GGGUGCUGCAGCAACCUCAGGACCCCCAGUUCCUGCGGCCAUGGCAACAGUGACAUCAUCGCACUUGGCGAGGGGGCAGGACGAGGCGAUGACAUCGUCACCUGAGCCAGACAUCGGUUGGCUUGAGACACUCCCAUGGGUUCGUAUCGGGAUCAUAGCGGGAGUUCUGUCGCUAACUGCUCUGGUUCUUGGGAUUCUACUGGCAACACACAAGAUCUGAUGCCCCCACCGCCCAGAGAGAAAGAGAGACAGGAGCUACACGCAUCUCUCCUGGAUAGAGGCGUACAAGGACAGCGAGAUGAUGCUGGUUCCCUUACUCCCAUGGGGUGACCUCUCAUCACUCUUAUGUCAUGUUUGGAUCGAGGUGGGGGUACGGCUGGUGUGUCAGGGAUUUCCUGUGUAGGAAGGGUGGAUGCAUUUUUGAUGAAACCAGGCAUGAGAGUGAAGUCACAGUGUAGAAUGUGUCUUCGAUCCAAUGCCAGCUGACAAGGCUGACUAUAAAAGGGAGAUUGUUUUGUUUGUUUAGCCAAUUCUAUUCCUGCGGCCAAUAAAAGGUGAUGGUAACACUUUAUGUGAAGGUUACAUUGACUACCAUGUAACUACAUAUCAACGACAUGUUCCCGCUGUAAUUCACUUUGGAUAAAACCACUAACUCUUAAUACCAUUUCAUUAGUGUUUAUGUGACGUUUUUGUUUUUACUGUACGUGCUGCUACGUCAUUUCAUGAUCGUUUAUGUAACCAUAAUGCUGUAGUUUGUAGCUUAUUUGUGUUAUAUGUUGGCCCAAUUCUAUUGGACCAUGUAUUUACCCUAUUGAUUAUACCAUCUUAUCUAAUAAUAAAACCACUGGCUUCCUCCAGUGCUCUAUAGUCA